CGCCGAUGGUAGUGUGGGGUCUCCCCAUGCGAGAGUAGGGAACUGCCAGGC
rnacentral:rRNA from 1 species